AUUGAACGCUGGCGGAACGCUUUACACAUGCAAGUCGAACGGUAGAGGGGGCAACCCCUCGAGAGUGGCGAACGGGUGAGUAAUAUAUCGGAACGUGCCCAGUCGUGGGGGAUAACGUAGCGAAAGUUACGCUAAUACCGCAUACGAUCUAAGGAUGAAAGCGGGGGAUCGCAAGACCUCGCGCGAUUGGAGCGGCCGAUAUCAGAUUAGGUAGUUGGUGGGGUAAAGGCUCACCAAGCCAACGAUCUGUAGCUGGUCUGAGAGGACGACCAGCCACACUGGAACUGAGACACGGUCCAGACUCCUACGGGAGGCAGCAGUGGGGAAUUUUGGACAAUGGACGCAAGUCUGAUCCAGCCAUUCCGCGUGCAGGAUGAAGGCCCUCGGGUUGUGAACUGCUUUUGUACGGAACGAAAAGGUCUCUCUUAAUACGGGGGACUCAUGACGGUACCGUAAGAAUAAGCACCGGCUAACUACGUGCCAGCCGCCGCCGUAA
rnacentral:rRNA from 1 species